rnacentral:rRNA from 1 species
AACGAACGCUGGCGGCAUGCCUAACACAUGCAAGUCGAACGAGACCUUCGGGUCUAGUGGCGCACGGGUGCGUAACGCGUGGGAACCUGCCCUUAGGUUCGGAAUAACUCCCCGAAAGGGGUGCUAAUACCGGAUAAUGUCUUCGGACCAAAGAUUUAUCGCCUUUGGAUGGGCCCGCGUUGGAUUAGCUAGUUGGUAGGGUAAAAGCCUACCAAGGCGACGAUCCAUAGCUGGUCUGAGAGGAUGAUCAGCCACACUGGGACUGAGACACGGCCCAGACUCCUGCGGGAUGCAGCAGUGGGGAAUAUUGGACAAUGGGCGAAAGCCUGAUCCAGCAAUGCCGCGUGAGUGAUGAAGGCCUUAGGGUUGUAAAGCUCUUUUACCCGGGAUGAUAAUGGCAGUACCGGGAGAAUAAGCUCCGGCUAACUCCGUG